UACGUAGGGUGCGAGCGUUGUCCGGAAUUACUGGGCGUAAAGAGCUCGUAGGUGGUUUGUCGCGUUGUUCGUGAAAUCUCACGGCUUAACUGUGAGCGUGCGGGCGAUACGGGCAGACUGGAGUACUGCAGGGGAGACUGGAAUUCCUGGUGUAGCGGUGGAAUGCGCAGAUAUCAGGAGGAACACCGGUGGCGAAGGCGGGUCUCUGGGCAGUAACUGACGCUGAGGAGCGAAAGCGUGGGGGAGCGAACAGG
rnacentral:rRNA from 1 species